UGAUCUUCGUCACAAAUUGGCUACAGACUGAGAUGGCUCUCCACGGAGGUGGACUGGAUCCCGUUGAGCACCUCAAACAGGUGCUGCAGGCUACUUAUAAAACCUGGUGGAUUUGUUGUUCAGCAGUGGAGUGGGAACCCCCUUACCAUAUCAGGAACCGAAGGCUGAGGCAGUACGUGGUAGGCACCAGUUCCACUUCAAGAUGAAGGACAGGAGAGGUGUUUCGUCAUGGAGACUAAAAGACAAGUUGAUACAGAUGUCUGAAUUGGGAGAUACCGUGCACUCAGCAUUAAAAUGACACAAGACAUA